AAGAACGUCACAGUUCUUGUGUUUCAGACAAUGAGAAACUUCAUGAGUUUGAUAUUUCUGAACUUAUUCACUGAGUUUAAGAGAAAAAAUGUUUCUAGAGGAAGAAAGCAGCUGAAGGAGAGAGGAAGAGGAGGAAGAGGAGGAAGAGGAGGAAGAGGAGGAGCUGAUCUGUUCCUGAUCUCUAUAGAAACUCAAACUUCCUCCUUCAGUUCAGUUCAACUCUCCAACAUUAACUCUGAUCAACAUGGACUAUUAUGGUCUGUUUCUGCUCAUCGUCUCUCUACUAACAGGUAUCAGCUGUGAUCAACUUACUCCUCAUGAGGAGGAACUCUUCAGUUUAGAAAGCAGCUUUGUUAAUCUGUCCUAUACAUUUUCAAGACGAGCUGCAAAUGAUUAUUUCUUCUGGUAUCGACAAUAUCCUGGAAAACCUCCACAGUUCCUGAUCUCUCACUCAGGAACAGGAGCUCCGAUGUCAACACCGCUUCCUGGUUUCUCCUUCAACAUGACUGCUGAUAAAACCCAGAUGGAUCUGCUGAUCUCCUCUGCUGCAGUGACAGACUCUGCUGUGUACUACUGCGCUGUGAGGCCCACAGUGACAGGAAACACCAGAACCCUGUACAAGAACCUGCAGUACUCCACAGCAGCCACUAGAGGGCCCCACUUCCUGUUAAUCCACUGGUAGUUGAGUCUUUGAAGACAAAGUCAACAGACAUGAAGCAGUAAAGAUCAGAAAGCUGUCUGAUUGGUUGAGUAGAAGUGGCCCCGCCCCCUGACCUUCAGCUCAUUCAAUGACAUCAUUUCCUCCUUCUGCUGCAGUGGAAGAACAUUGUUGAUCUGCCGUGUGGCUCUAAGGACCCAAAGACAUGUU